rnacentral:lncRNA from 1 species
GGCCCUACACUUCUUGAGGCUCUUGACCAGAUCAAUGAGCCCAAGAGGCCUUCAGACAAGCCUCUCCGUCUACCACUUCAGGAUGUGUACAAGAUUGGUGGUAUUGGAACUGUCCCGGUUGGUCGUGUUGAAACUGGUGUCUUGAAGCCUGGUAUGGUUGUGACCUUUGGUCCUACUGGUCUGACCACUGAAGUUAAGUCUGUUGAGAUGCACCAUGAAGCUCUUACAGAGGCACUUCCUGGUGAUAAUGUUGGGUUCAAUGUUAAGAAUGUUGCUGUUAAGGAUCUCAAGCGUGGUUAUGUUGCAUCCAACUCCAAGGAUGAUCCUGCUAAGGAGGCUGCAAACUUCACUUCUCAGGUCAUCAUUAUGAACCAUCCUGGACAAAUUGGAAACGGAUAUGCCCCAGUCCUCGACUGCCACACCUCACACAUUGCUGUUAAGUUUGCUGAACUUUUGACCAAGAUUGACAGGCGAUCUGGUAAGGAGCUUGAGAAGGAACCCAAGUUCUUGAAGAAUGGUGAUGCUGGUAUGAUUAAGAUGAUUCCCACCAAGCCCAUGGUUGUGGAGACCUUCUCCGAGUACCCACCCUUGGGCCGUUUUGCUGUGAGGGACAUGCGUCAGACCGUGGCUGUUGGUGUUAUCAAGAAUGUUGAGAAGAAGGACCCAUCCGGUGCAAAGGUCACCAAGUCUGCUGCUAAAAAGAAGUGAACCGUGCUGGCUAAACCUAAUGAAGUUUCCGCAGAUGGAGUAUUUUAUUAUGAUAAUAAUAGUUUGAUAGACUUUAUCAUUUAUGAUAUAGUUGGUCUUUUGCUUGGUUUUGCAUGUUAUAGUG